rnacentral:misc_RNA from 1 species
GAUGAAGAACGUAGCGAAAUGCGAUAAGUAAUGUGAAUUGCAGAAUUCAGUGAAUCAUCGAAUCUUUGAACGCACAUUGCGCCCGCCAGCAUUCUGGCGGGCAUGCCUGUUCGAGCGUCAUUUCAACCCUCGACCUCCCCUUGGGGAGGUCGGCGUUGGGGACCGGCAGCACACCGCCGGCCCUGAAAUGGAGUGGCGGCCCGUCUGCGGCGACCUCUGCGUAGUAAUACAGCUCGCACCGGAACCCCGACGCGGCCACGCCGUAAAACACCCAACUUCUGAACGUUGACCUCGAAUCAGGUAGGACUACCCGCUGAACUUAAGCAUAUCAAUAAGCGGAGGA